CCCCCGGACUGACGGGGCUGGACCCCUCCGGACCCCGCUGAACCCCAGGACUGGAGGUGCUGAGCUCCCCCGGACAGACGGGGCUGAACCCCCGGAUCCUGCUGAACCCUCCGGGCCGGUUCUGAGCUCGGGGUUUCUCGGCAGGCACUUGGAAAAUUAUCCAGUGGUUCAGUGCUGAGGGAAUUCUGUGGGAGCAUGGCUGGAGCAGGACACAGAGUCUGGGCACAGAGUGCAGGCAGUGAUGCGGGAUGCUCCUCCCUGCCUCCCUGGCGGCCCUGUGCCCUGGGGCUGUGAUCCCGUCCUGCUCCCGCCGUCCCCAGCACAUCCCAGGAGCCAUGAGGAGGUUUGGCUACUGCCGGGUGGUGCUGGCCACGUCCCUGCUCUGGGUGCUGCUGGACGUGUUCCUGCUGCUCUACUUCAGCGAGUGCAACAAGUGUGAGGACAGCAAGGAGCGCUCGCUGCUGCCGGCGCUGCGCGGUGAGU